UGCCCCGUGGUGUAACGGUAGCACGAAUGACUCUGGAUCAUUUAGUCGGGGUUCAAAUCCCUGCGGGGCAA
rnacentral:tRNA from 1 species